GGCACGCGAGGGUCUCCCUCACCCACCCCCUCACCGUACGACGACGACGACGAUUUCUAUCGAAACUCGGGAUUAUUUAAAUUUUACGCGUAUAUUUCAAAAUAUAAAUUAAACCGGUCGAUUUGAGAAUUUUUUCGUAAAAAAAAAAGUGGAUUUUUUAUAGAGUGGAUUUUUUUUUUUGGUUUUUUGGUGGAUUUUGGUGUAAGGUUUUAAGAGUAAGAGAGAGAGGAGAUUUUUGGGAAUUAUGAUUUUUAGAAUGUUUGUGGUGGUUGGAGUUUUGGGGGUCUGUUGUCUGGGACAGACUCUGAUGGUGAAUGAGAACGAGGAGGAUGGAGUCCAACAACCCACUGCAAUGGUGUCAGUCGAUGCCGUAUUGGCCCGCAGUGCGACUUUACCGUGUGAUAUUGAGCCGAGCAUCAGGGAGGAUCGAAUUUACAUGGUUUUAUGGUACAGGGAUGGACACAGUAAACCCAUUUAUAGUUUCGAUGUGCGAGGAAGAGCGUUCACGAAGGCCCUUCAAUGGUCGGACCCGAACAUGUUUGGACCCAGGGCGUAUUUCGUCACGGUGUCCAAACCGGCCGCCCUCACCUUGGAUGGGGUCACAUUGGACGACGAGGGGGUCUACAGGGCCAGGGUCGACUUUAAAAUGUCCCCAUCGAGGAACUGUGCCGUCAAUCUAACGGUCAUUGUUCCUCCUCACCAACUGUUACUCUACGACAAGAUGGGCCGCGGAGUGAACGACGUAAUCGGACCCUUAGAGGAGGGAUCGGAUUUGGUGUUGACGUGCGAAGUGAGAGGUGGUAGUCCCAGUCCAACCGUAUCCUGGUUCGUGAACGAUCGUCUCACGGAGGGACACGUCGAGGUGAUUUCCAAGAACAACGUGAUCGUCAACCGCUUGGAAAUCCGUCAAUUGACCAGGGAUAAAUUGAACUCGACUUUCAAGUGUCAAGCGAGCAACACCAAGUUAAUGAUGCCCUCCCAGAAAACCGUCCGAUUGGAAUUGUUACUGAAACCCCUGAGCGUAAUCAUCCCGAUAAAACCGAGACAACUGAUAGCGAACGAGGAGGUGUCGAUUAACUGCGAGGUGACCGGAUCACGUCCUAAAGCGGUUGUGUCUUGGACCAGAGACACGCGACCCUUCAAACGUGGGAAGUUUCGGGAAGAAGAGAUAUCGAACGGGUCCGCGGUGGUGGUGAACACGGUGUCGUUUGUCCCGGUCCCGGAGGAUGACGGGACGCUUUUAAAAUGCAUCGGCGAGAAUCCCAAGUUGCCGGGGAUGAGCCAGGAGGACUCGUUCAAGUUGAACGUCGUAUAUCCGCCCCAAGUGGUCCUCCAUUUGGGGAGCACCCUUAACGCGGCCGACAUCAAGGAAGGCGACGACGUUUAUUUCGAGUGCAACAUUAAGGCCAACCCGAAACAGCACAAGAUCACCUGGUAUCAUAAUGGUCUGAUGGUCAACCAGAACAUGUCUUCGGGCAUAAUAAUCAGCACCCACAGUUUAGUACUGCAGAGCGUCGCCAGGGGGCAGAGCGGCAAUUACACCUGCUUGGCGGCCAAUCCGAGGGGCGAGACCAUGAGCCCCGCAGUGACCUUAAAAGUCCGAUAUGCUCCCGUAUGUACCAACAGCGAAGCGACAAUAAUCGGAGCCUCCUUGGACGAGGUGCUGAAGGUGCACUGUCAAGUGUCAGCCGAUCCCGCCGACGUGACGUUUCAGUGGCAAUUUAAUAAUAGUGGAGAGAGUUUUGACGCGCAGCCGCCGAGAUUCGCGACAUCUAGCGGGAAUUUGAGCGAGUUAACUUACGCGCCCAAGUCCCAGAAGGAUUAUGGGAGUUUGACAUGUUGGGCGACCAAUUCGAUUGGGAGACAGGUGGAGCCCUGUAUAUUUCAGAUCGUACCAGCCUCAAAACCGUCCCCGUUAACCAAUUGCACCCUCAAAAGCGUCAACAAUCAAACGAUAGAGAUCGUGGAUGUCGAGUGUAAGUCCGGAUACGACGGCGGACUGCCCCAGCAAUUCGUCUUGGAGGCCUACGACGCCCAUAGUAUGAGACUACGAAUAAAUCAAACCGUACGUGACACCGAGUAUCCGACCUUUCACCUGGACCUGGGAGAUCUGCUGCCCUCUCCUCCCUCACUAAAAGUGAUCGUUUAUGCCGUAAAUGCCAAGGGAAAAAGUGAGAAGCUUGUGUUAGACGAUAUCACCCUUAAUGAUGCUGAAAAACGUACUGAUGGCAGCACGAACAUGAGUUUGGUACCGCUGGCGGGUCUCCUCACCGGAUCCCUCCUCACCCUGGGCAUAGCCGUCUUAGUCAUAGUGGUGGUGGCGGUAAGGAGGAAACGUCACUGUAACGGACUAAACCACUGUCCCCACCACAUCGCUUUGGACGCCUCCAAGCCCCAAACCAAGUCCAGACAAGGCAGCAUGCUGGAAAUCAAUACAGGUGACAACCGGUACGUGGUGGCGUAUACGUUGAAACCGGCGGCGGACUGUUCGCCGCCUCCUCUGUUUCCCGCCUCCCAAGAUAACAACCGUCAGAUGACGUCACCGUCCGACUCGCAGGUGAGGAGGCAACCGGACAUUUUGAACGCGCCCAGAGGUGAGUGUAGAUGCGAAUGUCACCAUCGUAGUAGCGGACACUGUCACGCCCACGACCGACACUUCACCACAUUUAAACACUUCGACGACGUUUGAUGGGACCCUUUAAAAGGGUUUUUCACUAGUUUUUUUUCUUUUUUUUUUUUAUAUAAAUUUUAAUGAUCGGGGGUGAUUCAUUUCUCCUUCAUCCUCCUCUCCCUAGAUUAAAAUGGAAAACUACUUAAAAUGUUCUCCUCAAAAAGGAACCGUAAUUUUUUUUAAUUGUUAAAAUGGUGAAGAUGAUGCAGAACGUAAAAAAUAAUUUGUAAAAUACCAUCAAAUGCCUGGAAUAAGAAAAAAAAUUACUCGGUGCCUUAGGACCAACCUAAUAAUAUUCAAUUACCUGGAAAAUAUUAACAAAUUAUUUGAAAUGCCUGCAAGGUAUACAAAAUGACGUAAAAUCUAUCCAUGGAAUAAACCAAAAAAUUCCUCCAAUAACUCUGAAAGAAAUACUCCUAGAUUUCCGCUAACUUUUACCAUGAUUUUUUGAUUGACAAGAUGGUAAAGGCGCUCGUCAUGAUUUAAACAUUGAUUUUUGUCCUAAUUUUUAAAUGUUAAUAAGCGCCAAAGAAAUCUCUUUAAUUAUCAAAGAAAUGUUGCUUAAAAUAGCUGGAAAGUCAUAAAACGAGUCUACAAAUACCUGGAAAGGAAUUUAUUUAGAACACUUAGAAUAAAAUUUGAAAAAAGCCCCUCAAGUGUCUCAGUUUUCUGAAGAUGUCUGUAAAUGCCUGGAAUACAAUUAAUUGUUCUUUAAAAUUAGCCUUAAGGUCACGAAAAUAAAACAAGGAACGAUUUCAAGGGCCUGGAAUAAGCAUAAAGAUAUCCUUUAAAGUCUGGAAUAAAAAUAACAAAUGACAAGGAAAACGUGAAGAAUUCAUUGAAAUGUCUUAAAAAUUACGUGAAAUGUCUGGAAUAAAAUACAAAAUUACGGUAAAAAGUAUAUGAUGUUUCAUGGGCUUUCACCAUCUCACUCAUCUUUUAUUCUCGCGCUACCUCUUAAAUUGUUUGAACAUAAAAUUCAACCGUUAAAUAUUGGGUUUUCUUUAUAGAAUAUUAAUUCAGUAGUUCAUGGCAGGUAUCUCUGAAAUCCACGUUUUUUAAUUUAUCUAACAUUAAGUCUUUGUUCGCAAUAUCUUAGAGGCUUUAUAAAGAUCUAUGAUGACGCGCUUAUAUUCUUAAAGAUCAAUUGAAGCUCUCGAGGCAACAAGGUACAUAAGCCGUAACAUUCAGUAACUUUUGAGAAAAACGACUUUAAAAGUAGUAGGUAUAUCUUUUUUAUGUCAAAAUAAAACUACACUUUCUGUUGCUAUUAAAAUACAUUUGAAAAUGGUAGUCGGGAACUCUUAGUACAAAACAAGUUUUACAAAUUCUUUAGUUUUAUUGAUAAGAAACAGUCAAAUUUAAAAAUAUCAAUAGUCUUUGAAAAUACUUACCGUAGCGAACAAAUGUAUGGAAACAUUUUAAAAAUUAAAAUUUAAAAAGAAAACUACUUUCCAAUUUGGUUUUCCAAGUGCGGCCAAAAGUUCUCUAUAGGGUUCAAAUCAGGUGAUCGGGAAGGCCAGUCCAAUACUUCAAAAUUUUUUCAGAUGGAAAUAAGUUUCUCUCCAGCAUGUAUGUAACUGUUAGCUUCUCCUAAGUUAAAUUUUACUAUAUAUUGGUUAUUGGACACCCAAAAAAUUAUUUUUUUGUGAUUCUUUUAAUACACAAUUUUGUUGAAUAGUAAUCUUUGUUUGCUAUUAUACUCAUUGAACUAAAAUGCCUUUGAACGCUUUGUUUUUGACUGAAAAUAUCCAAUAUAUUUUGCAUAAUAUUCUGCGAAAAUCUCGCUUUUCAGUAAAAUGUGACCUUAUAUACCUUGUUGCCUCAAGCCCUUCAAUUGUCACUCCAAGUGUACCGCUUUUACUCUGAAAUCCGUACUGGUCACAUCCAAAACUUGUAAUAAGGAUUACAAAGUCUUACUUAGGAAUGUAAUUGGCCUAAGAUUAUUAACUUUUGAUUUACUUCCUUUUUUAUAAGUCAGUAUUAUCUUGCUUAUUCAACUUUUCACUGAAUACGCAAGUUUUUUAGUACCUGAUUGAUUAAUUUUAGCAUACAGUCUGAAAUGAUUUCCAAUAAUUCCAUUGCGUUAUUUUUUGUAAUACGGACCUGGUAAACAAUCAUUUUUGAGAUUACUCAUUAUUUCUUUGAUCGGUUCAGAAGUCUGUAGGCUGCAAGAAAAUUGUUUUUUGAUUUUGUUACUCAUUGAAGUUCGGUACAUUGUUACUGUUUAAUUUAGCUGAUCAAGAGAUGAAUUAUUAUUAUAUUCCUCUACAAUAUUUUAUGGAUUUUCUAUAGUUUUUUUCAUUUUGAUCUAUAACUCUAUCUAUAUUUUGUUUCUCACUUCCUGUAUUUUUGUUACUAAUGUCAUUACACAACAAGUUUUCCAUUUACUUUUGUGAACCUAUUUUCCGCAUGUUUUUUUUUGUAAAAGAUUUUUGCUAGCUUUAGCUUUUGUUAAAUUUUCUUUGAGUUUUUUCUAUCUAGCUUGUCUCUCUUUAAUCUUGCGUAGAUAUUCACUUUGCUAAUUAUUCUGUCUGAUUAUUUGAUAAAUAAGUGCCUGGACUAAGAAGAAAUUACUUUAAAGGCCUAAAAUGGAACAGAAAACGUUUCAAAUGCCCGAAAAACACUAUUUUAACUGCCUGAAAUAAAAUAUAGAAUUACUGUAAAAAGGUGUUAUCGAGAAAACACUACUUCAAAAUGCCUGGAAGUUUAUAGGAAUCGGUUACAAAUUUUCAGGGAAAGAAUUAUAAAAUAUUUAUCAAAAAAAUAACUCUUAAUAACCUCAGUUUGCCUGGAACUGCCCCUAUUAAAUGCCUGGAAUAUAAUUGAAAAAAUAUUUUAAAAGAUCCAAGAAAUCCUUGGAAAACCAGAAAAUACUUGGAACAAGUUAAAUUUCCUUCAAAAGCCUCGAAUAUAUAAAAUAUUACUUUAAAUUAGUUUACACCCAGUAGUGAACUUCUCUAGUCUACCGGUUUUAUUUCCAUUUUAUCAGUGUUUAAUUGUAAUUCCUCCUCUACGUAACCGCCUUUUAAUGUUAUCUACGUUUUUGUCCCUGUUAUAUGUGUUUUUUUAAUUUGCCGAAAGAGAGCUACGACUUCGAGCCCUGCAGAUGAAUUAAAUACAAUUCGAAACGUUGGCGUGAAACAAAUAGUUUUCUUUAACAAUUGACCAAUACACCCACAAAAUGCCAUUUCUAAUACAAAAUCUCUGGUCACAAUAAUAAUUACUUUAAAUACCUUGAAGAUGUAAAGAAUAUUAAGAAGAGGCUUCAAGGUCUAAUGAAACACUGAUCAUCAUCAAAAAAUUAUUGGUAAUGCCUGUAAUAAGCCAAGAACUUGCUUGAAAAAUUACAAGAAAUCUAAUCCAAGGUUUCAAGAAAUAAAUAAGAAAACCCACAAAACACAAUUUUUGUGUUGUUAAAGGGGUGAAAACGAUGCAAAAAUAAUUUCAAAUGCCUGAAAUAAACCGAAACGCUGCUCGGAACAUUAAGAAAAUGCCUGGAAUAGGAAACAAAUUUUAUCGAAAAACUGGUGUUCAAACAUCAGAUCUGAAAUUCAAUGUAGUAUGAAAAAGUCUGAAAUAAAAUGAGGAUUUAUUUGAAACGAGUGGAAUAAUAUAAAAAUAUAGUCUCUAAAUGUUUGAAAUAAGGAUAACCUUAAGCAGUUGAGAAAUUACUUUAAAAUGCCUAGAAAAUGCUUCUAAUUUCAGGGAGAGAGACUCUUAAAAUGACUUUAAAUGUGCGGAACAAAGAAAAACUUACUCGAUAGACUUGGAACAUAUAAAAGAAUUAAUUUAAAUACCUUUAAGCUAUGACGAAUAACGAGAAUUGAAAAGUCAAUGUGAAAUCGAUUUUUUCCACUCUCCUUCUCUAUUUUAAUCCCAACGCCCCCUGAUAGUAUUUCUAAAACCAAAUAAAUAUUGAAAAAGUAUUUUUUUUAAUUUAUUCCAACAACUUUUUCUAUACACGAUUUUUCUCAUUCUGGGUACCUUGUAUAUCUAUAAACCGAAAUCAGUGCCUUUAUAUAAAAGAAAAAAAUAUAUAUAUAAAAUUUUAACACUAAAUACCGCACAUUAGACCAGCUUUACCUUUGAGUCUAGUUAAUGAAAAAAACCACUUCAAAUUGUAAUAUUUAGUAAAAGUGAAUGUUUUCAACGGAUCAUUUGUAUACGCUAUCGAAGCAUGGUUAAAAGCGCCCCCUUGCGGCUUUACCGUGCAACAUCUUCAGUCAAUUGCAGACCCACAAAUAAUUAAUUAUACCGCCUAUAAUUAAUUAUAAGCGGUGCUUUUUGAUUGUCACACGUCAUGUAUACAACGCGUGUCUUAACUUUCAAAUUGUUUAAAAAAAAAGCCACCUAAAAGAAGCAUUGUAUGUAUCGAACAAAUCAGAAACAUGAUUAAGGUUUAGCCAUUAGCCAUGCUUCACUAGCCUAUUAUAGAGAGCAUGAUACGAUAUCGAAAAGCUUUUUGUGUAAUUAUUGUUCAUUUAUAGAUGUAUGUAUUUAUGUAUAGUGUAUAGAGAUCUACAGGGUGUCCAUGGUUGUAGUGUCUCAAUUCUAAGAGCGCAUUCUGUGUUUAAAAUAAGCCUUAAUUUUCUUUAUAUAACAUUAAUUGAGAAACGCUUUUAAUGGACAUAAUUGUCUUAAUAGACGUUAUUCUUUAACAAUUCUUUAAUGGAUAUUUUGUCUCUGAUAACUAUGGGAGAGGUUCCAUAAAUUCGUCAGGAACCUUGUGUGAACUCUUCUGGUUCAUAGUCUUCUUACAGAUUUAAUUUUUUUUCUGGUCAGUCUGUAUAUAUUUUUGGAAAUGCUUAAAUAGGUGUCUAAUGGAAUUUGAUAGAGAGUGUACGUACAAAUUUUCAAAAAUUUUCGCGGUUUAUUUUUUCAGUUAUGAACAUUUUGUGGAUUUCUUUUGAAAAAAAUCGCCUUCUUACAUAUUUAAUUUUUUGUCUGCUCACUCUGUAUAUAUUUUUGGAAAUGCUUUAAUAGGUGUCUAAUGGAAUUUGAUAGAGAUUGUACGUACAAAUUUUCAAAAAUUUUCGCGGUUUAUUUUUUGAGUUAUGAACAUUUUUUGGAUUUCUUUUGAAAAAAAUCGCCUUCUUACAGAUUUAAUUUUUUUUCUUGUCACCCUGUAUAUAUUUUUGGAAAUGCUUAAAUAGGUGUCUAAAGGAAUUUGAUAGAGAGUGUACGUACAAAUUUUCAAAAAUUUUCGCGGUUUAUUUUUUGAGUUAUGAACAUUUUUUGGAUUUCUUUUGAAAAAAAUCGCCUUCUUACAGAUUUAAUUUUUUUUCUUGUCACC